GUGAUCACUUUGGGAGCACAAAGGCCAGAAUUGGAAUGACACAAAGAUUAGCAUGGCCUCUGUGCAAGGAUGACAUGUAAAUGUGUGAGGCACUCCAUAUUAAA